AACGAACGCUGGCGGCAGGCCUAACACAUGCAAGUCGAACGCUCGUAGCAAUACGGGAGUGGCAGACGGGUGCGUAACGCGUGGGAACAUACCCUUUGGUUCGGAAUAACUCAGGGAAACUUGAGCUAAUACCGGAUACGCCCGAGAGGGGAAAGAUUUAUUGCCGAAGGAUUGGCCCGCGUCUGAUUAGCUAGUUGGUGAGGUAACGGCUCACCAAGGCGACGAUCAGUAGCUGGUCUGAGAGGAUGAUCAGCCACACUGGGACUGAGACACGGCCCAGACUCCUACGGGAGGCAGCAGUGGGGAAUAUUGGACAAUGGGCGCAAGCCUGAUCCAGCCAUGCCGCGUGAGUGAUGACGGCCUUAGGGUUGUAAAGCUCUUUUACCCGGGAAGAUAAUGACGGUACCGGGAGAAUAAGCCCCGGCUAACUUCGUG
rnacentral:rRNA from 1 species